rnacentral:snoRNA from 1 species
AAGACUAUACUUCGCAGAAUCAUUUCUGUGUGUCUUCAUUUCCAUUUUUGGAAAUCGACCCGCGAUGACGAGGUAUAUCGUUUUAUCUGACAGCGUGAGGUUUGAGAAGUUCAUUUCUAAUUUUGUCUCGUGGCAUAUUAGAAAUGAUGUUUCUUCGAACAUCGUUCGCUUACAAUGGAUAAAAUGACUUCUGAG